AACGAACGCUGGCGGCAGGCCUAACCCAUCCAAGUCUAACGAGAAGCUACCUUCGGGUGGAGGACAGUGGCAGCCGGGUGAGUAACGCGUGGGAACGUGCCUUUCGGUUCGGGAUAACCCAGGGAAACUUGGGCUAAUACCGGAUACGCCCUCCGGGGGAAAGAUUCAUCGCCGAAAGAUCGGCCCGCGUCGGAUUAGCUAGUUGGUAGGGUAAGGGCCUACCAAGGCGACGAUCCGUAGCUGGUCUGAGAGGAUGACCACCCACACUGGGACUGAGACACGGCCCAGACUCCUACGGGAGGCAGCAGUGGGGAAUAUUGGACAAUGGGCGAAAGCCUGAUCCAGCCAUGCCGCGUGGGUGAAGAAGGCCUUAGGGUUGUAAACCCCUUUCAGCGGGGAAGAUAAUGACGGUACCCGCAGAAGAAGUCCCGGCUAACUCCGUGACAGCAGCCGCCGUAA
rnacentral:rRNA from 1 species